GCCCGGGUGGUGGAAUUGGUAGACACGCUAGAAUGAGGUUCUAGUGCCGAAAGGUGUGAAGGUUCGAGUCCUUUCUCGGGCA
rnacentral:tRNA from 1 species